rnacentral:rRNA from 1 species
GAGGAAUAUUGCGCAAUGGAGGCAACUCUGACGCAGCCAUGCCGCGUGCAGGAAGAAGGCGCUACGCGUUGUAAACUGCUUUUAACCGGGAAGAAACCCCAGGACGUGUCCUGGGUUGACGGUACCGGAGGAAUAAGCACCGGCUAACUUCGUGCCAGCAGCCGCGGUAAUACGAAGGGUGCAAGCGUUAUCCGGAUUCAUUGGGUUUAAAGGGUGCGUAGGCGGGGUGGUAAGUCAGUGGUGAAAUCCUGCGGCUCAACCGUAGAAUUGCCAUUGAUACUGCCAUUCUUGAGUAGGCUCGACGUGGGCGGAAUGUGCCGUGUAGCGGUGAAAUGCUUAGAUAUGGCACAGAACACCGAUAGUGAAGACAGCUCACGAGGGCCAAACUGACGCUGAGGCACGAAAGCGUGGGGAUCGAAC